CGCCGGAUGACGGCCACCCCCGCCCCCCUCUCUGCGCGCGCGUCCAGGUCGUUGUUUCUUUUGGUGUUACCCUGCGUUCAAAGGGAUCAAGAUGGUGCCUUUCUUUGGGUCUGCAUUUCGUCUACUACUUCUCCCACCCAGCAGGUAGCAACAUGUGUUGAGCAAUGACAUAGACAACAUUUUCCCUUUUUAGUAGUGAUUUGAUGCACCAAUAAAUAGAUGUUUCUACUAUCUCAGAAAGUUUUAGCUGAUGGAUAUCUGCUGGAGAAAUAUUAGUCAUUUUGUUGAGCAUGGCUAGAGUCGUAUUGACACAUCCAUGUGAGAGGGGAUCGAAACUUUGCUUUAUGCAUGUUAUUGUCCUUCAGUAAAGUUUUUUAGCUCAAUGGAAGCGUUUGUCCUUGGUGAUGCCAACCUUGGUGGGAUAUUUUUUGUCAUGUAAACGCCUAAUAUUUGUACAUGGUUAUGUCCACCUUCAACGGAAGGCACAUAGAUCCCCAUUUGUGGUUUCAGCUUUACGGGAAGUUUUUAGUCUUAUAGGACUAAUGCUUAUAGUUUAUUUUCAAGUAUUUCUACUGCUCGGCUUAUUUUUAAACUAUAGUUUGGUUGAUGAACUAUUUCUAUUGAUAAGCUCAUUUUAAAAAUAUAGUUUGGUUGGUGAAGUUGCCUACUAUAUCACUUAUCGCGUAGAAAGGUUUUUGUUUCUUUCUUCAUCUCAAUAUUAGCCAUUUCAGUAUAUGUCCAUUGUUCAUUAUAUUUCUGAAGCGGCAUUUUUUAUUAGCAGUCCUAAUUAUGUGUCUCUGUUUAUAUUAUAUAUGUAAAGGCAAGAAUCAAACAAUUUUAUUUAUGUGCCUAUGUUUGUAGAUUGGUAAAUCAUACUUCAGUUGUAUUGACCUGCAAUAAUAGUUCUAUGAUUAGAGCUUAUAGUUUAUUGUCAACUACUUUACUGAUGACACUUUUUUUAUUUACAUUGUGAGUUGCUGGUGUUGCUUCCUGUUGGACAUAGCUCGUUCUCCAGUCUCCACCUUCGAUUUGUGACACAGAUUGGUUUAUUGUGAUGUUGCUUUGAACAAGGAAUGGGUGAUGCUAUACCACUAGGAUUGUGUCAUCACCACAUACAUAAUUAGUCCCAGGAAAAAUAUAAAGCAUACCAAGGUGUGCUUGGUCUGCAGUGACGACCUUUGGGCCAACAACACAUGGACAUUUCACAGAUAAACUAUUGCAUCAGGCUAAAACAACAGAGUUUGGUUUGAGGUGCUCUCACAAGAUAUCAGAAAUUUGCUUGGCGAAGAUCUGGGACACUCGGGUACAUUAGACCCACGAGGCAACGCGACGGAGGCCAUGCACUCAAGUGGGAGGCGGAGCUCGCCUCCCCCAAUGACGACGGCUUCGACCUCAAGUGGAAGUGGGAGGCCAAGUCCAAGCCAUGCGCUGCCGGCAAGGUCGAAACCAAGUGGGGCGCCGAGGAAGCCAACAAGGAUGACAAUAAUCCGGCAAGAAAGUGCGUCCAGAUCAAGGAGAUCUCCACCGGCUGCGACGUCCAAAUAGAGGUACUCGACAGAAAUUUGAAAUUGUUGUGAUGAAAUAUGGGAUUUCCAGUGCUCCAGUAGCUAAAUGAUGAAAUGUGGGAGUAGAUUCAAGAGAAAGAUUGCAGUAACUUACUCCAGUAGCUUAGAUGGAACUUCGCUGUUUUGGAAUUUCCAGUAGCUUAAGUAUUGCAGUAGAUUUCCAAUAAAAUCUUGCCCGAGUGAUGUUUGCUUGGUUCCUAUGAAUCUUAAUCUUGAAUGUGUGUCUCUGAAUCUUAAUCUGAUGGGUGCUACUAUGAAUAAGGUUAGUUGUUGUUGAUUA